GGGACGUAGACCUUUUGCAGCCUGAACUGCAUCACCGGGAUACGGAGGAAUAAUCCCUGGAGUCUGAAUGAAAGUGUUGAACUGCUCCUGCAGCAUCCUAAUUUGUAAUGAUUUUUCCUCCUCCUUCUUCUGCGUCCUCUCUCUUUGUUCAGCAAGCUCUUUAGUGAGUUUAGAAACCGUAUUUUGUAGUCUUUCAAUGGUUUCUCUAUCAGCUGAAGAGUUGGAGUAUGUAGGGCCG
rnacentral:lncRNA from 1 species